UUGAACGCUGGCGGCAGGCCUAACACAUGCAAGUCGAGCGGUAGCACAGAGAGCUUGCUCUCGGGUGACGAGCGGCGGACGGGUGAGUAAUGUCUGGGAAACUGCCUGAUGGAGGGGGAUAACUACUGGAAACGGUAGCUAAUACCGCAUAACGUCGCAAGACCAAAGUGGGGGACCUUCGGGCCUCAUGCCAUCAGAUGUGCCCAGAUGGGAUUAGCUAGUAGGUGGGGUAACGGCUCACCUAGGCGACGAUCCCUAGCUGGUCUGAGAGGAUGACCAGCCACACUGGAACUGAGACACGGUCCAGACUCCUACGGGAGGCAGCAGUGGGGAAUAUUGCACAAUGGGCGCAAGCCUGAUGCAGCCAUGCCGCGUGUGUGAAGAAGGCCUUCGGGUUGUAAAGCACUUUCAGCGGGGAGGAAGGCGAUAAGGUUAAUAACCUUGUCGAUUGACGUUACCCGCAGAAGAAGCACCGGCUAACUCCGUGCCAGCAGCCGCGGUAAUACGGAGGGUGCAAGCGUUAAUCGGAAUUACUGGGCGUAAAGCGCACGCAGGCGGUCUGUCAAGUCGGAUGUGAAAUCCCCGGGCUCAACCUGGGAACUGCAUUCGAAACUGGCAGGCUAGAGUCUUGUAGAGGGGGGUAGAAUUCCAGGUGUAGCGGUGAAAUGCGUAGAGAUCUGGAGGAAUACCGGUGGCGAAGGCGACCCCCUGGACAAAGACUGACGCUCAGGUGCGAAAGCGUGGGGAGCAAACAGGAUUAGAUACCCUGGUAGUCCACGCCGUAAACGAUGUCGAUUUGGAGGUUGUGCCCUUGAGGCGUGGCUUCCGGAGCUAACGCGUUAAAUCGACCGCCUGGGGAGUACGGCCGCAAGGUUAAAACUCAAAUGAAUUGACGGGGGCCCGAACAAGCGUUGGAGCAUGUGGUUUAAUUCGAUGCAACGCGAAGAACCGUACCUGGUCUUGACGUCCACAGAACUUUCCAGAGAUGGAUUGGUGCCUUCGGGAACUGUGAGACAGGUGCUGCAUGGCUGUCGUCAGCUCGUGUUGUGAAAUGUUGGGUUAAGUCCCGCAACGAGCGCAACCCUUAUCCUUUGUUGCCAGCGGUUAGGCCGGGAACUCAAAGGAGACUGCCAGUGAUAAACUGGAGGAAGGUGGGGAUGACGUCAAGUCAUCAUGGCCCUUACGACCAGGGCUACACACGUGCUACAAUGGCAUAUACAAAGAGAAGCGACCUCGCGAGAGCAAGCGGACCUCAUAAAGUAUGUCGUAGUCCGGAUUGGAGUCUGCAACUCGACUCCAUGAAGUCGGAAUCGCUAGUAAUCGUAGAUCAGAAUGCUACGGUGAAUACGUUCCCGGGCCUUGUACACACCGCCCGUCACACCAUGGGAGUGGGUUGCAAAAGAAGUAGGUAGCUUAACCUUCGGGAGGGCGCUUACCACUUUGUGAUUCAUGACUGGGGUG
rnacentral:rRNA from 1 species